CUGUAUCUCAUUACUUUAUGCAAUUAUCUUGAUUCCUUUGAUCAUAGUGAUCAUCAUUGAUAUCUUAUAGGUUAAAUUAGGUUAUAAAUUCUUCAUCCUUAUAUUGUAAUUUUUUAAAAUACAUCUUUUCACCCUCCUCUAGGUGUUACGCUACUAGACCAUGGUUUUUCAAUCAGUUUUUCAUCACUUGUGCAGAUUCAUUAUGAAACUACAGGGCUAGAGAUCUGCAGAGGCUGUGGAGGAAAAGUUGGUGUCUUUGUUUCUGGGAUGGGGACUAGGGAAACAGUCAUUGGAGCAAGAAGGUUCCUUAAGAAUAAAAACCUAGAUAUUAAGGCAUACGAUGUAGAACCGACAGAAAGCGCAAUUUUGAAUGGACGAGAACCUGUUAAUUGGGAAUACCCCAUUGGUGUAUCUGAACAAAGUUGUGGAUGGUUGUUUAGCCCGUAUUGCAGUGACGCUAGAGGCAAUGGAGCCCUGCUCUAGUGUCAAAGAUAGAAUUGCUUUGAGCAUGAUCAAAGAUGUAGAAGAUAAGGGACUGAUUCAACCUGGGAAGGUCUGCUACCUAUAAACUUCCAUUGAAGAU